CGGUUGAUCCUACCGGACCCGACCGCUAUUUGGGUGAGAAUUCGCCAUGCGAGCCGACUGGGAUUGUUAGAAAUCCCAGGGCAAACUGCUCAGUAACACAUGAUCAACUUGCCCUAUAGAGAGAAAUAUCCUCGGGAAACUGAGGAAAAUUUCUCAUAGUUGAAUAGGCUUGGAAAAGUUAUUCAACAAACGUAAUAACAAAAAUGGGUGUUAUUAGCUAUAGGAAAGGAUCGUGUUCGAUUACGGUUGUUGGUGAGGUAAUGGCUCACCAAGCCGAUAAUCGAUAGGGGCCGUGAGAGCGGGAGCCCCGAGAUGGGUACUGAGACAACGACCCAGGCCUUACGAGGCGCAGCAGGCGCGAAACCUCCGCAAUACACGAAAGUGUGACGGGGUUACCCAAAGUGCUCUUUCUAGAGCUGUGGUAGGUGAGUAAUGUCCCCUACUAGAAAGGAGAGGGCAAGGCUGGUGCCAGCCGCCGCGGUAAAACCAGCUCUUCAAGUGGUCGGGAUAAUUAUUGGGCUUAAAGUGUCCGUAGCCGGUUUAGUAAGUUCCUGGUAAAAUCGAGUAGCUUAACUAUUCGUAUGCUAGGAAUACUACUAUACUAGAGGGCGGGAGAGGUCUGAGGUACUACAGGGGUAGGGGUGAAAUCUUAUAAUCCUUGUAGGACCACCAGUGGCGAAGGCGUCAGACUGGAACGCGCCUGACGGUGAGGGACGAAAGCCAGGGGAGCGAACCGGAUUAGAUACCCGGGUAGUCCUGGCUGUAAACGAUGCAUACUAGGUGAUGGCACGGCCAUGAGCCGUGUCAGUGCCGUAGGGAAACCGUUAAGUGUGCCGCCUGGGAAGUACGGUCGCAAGGCUAAAACUUAAAGGAAUUGGCGGGGGAGCAC
rnacentral:rRNA from 1 species